CUACGGGUGGCUGCAGUGAGGAAUAUUGCACAAUGGGGGGAACCCUGAUGCAGCAACGCCGCGUGGAGGAUGACGCACUUCGGUGUGUAAACUCCUUUUAUAUGUCAAGAAAAUGACGGUAGCAUAUGAAUAAGCGCCGGCUAACUCCAUGCCAGCAGCCGCGGUGAAUACGGAGGGCGCAAGCGUUACUCGGAAUCACUGGGCGUAAAGGACGCGUAGGCGGGUUGAAAAGUCAGGUGUGAAAGCCUACAGCUUAACUGUAGAACUGCACUUGAAACUCUCAAUCUAGAGUAUGGGAGGGGCAGAUGGAAUUAGUGGUGUAGGGGUAAAAUCCGUAGAUAUCACUAGGAAUACCUAAAGCGAAGGCGAUCUGCUGGAACAUUACUGACGCUAAGGCGUGAAAGCGUGGGGAGCAAACAGGAUUAGAUACCCGUGUAGUC
rnacentral:rRNA from 1 species